AUUGAACGCUGGCGGCAGGCCUAACACAUGCAAGUCGAACGAGUGGCGGACGGGUGAGUAAUGUAUGGGCCACUGCCUGAUGGAGGGGGACAACUACUGGAAACGGUAGCUAAUACCGCAUACCAUCGGAUGUGCCCAGAUGGGAUUAGCGUGUAGGUGGGGUAAAGGCUCACCUAGGCGACGAUCCCUCGCUGGUCUGAGAGGAUGACGAGCCACACUGGAGCUGAAGCACGGUCCAGACUCCUACGGGAGGCAGCAGUGGGGAAUAUUGGACAAAGGGCGCAAGCCUGAUGCAGCCAUUCCGCGUGUAUGAAGGAGGCCGUCGGGUUGUAAAGUACUGUCAGGCAGGAGACGUGACCCGAAAAAGUAGCACCGGCUAACUCCGUGCCAGCAGCCGCGGUAAUAC
rnacentral:rRNA from 1 species